rnacentral:rRNA from 1 species
CUCAGCGCCGUUCGGAGCCUUGAUUAUCCUCAUGGAAGACCUUCCUGAGAUCUCCUUCCCUCACGGAUGGACCGUACCGAUAACCGCAUCCGGACUCCGAGGUGAAUAGCCUCUGGUCCAUGGAGCAAUGUGACCAAGGGAAGUCGGCAAAAUAGACGCGUAACUUCGGGAGAAGCGUUGGCUCCAAGGGCUGGAUGUCAGAAGCCAGCAGCUUUGACGGAUCUGGGCUGUGGAAUUGGCAAGUUCUCGGGUUCUCGGAUCUGAGGACUGGUCGGUUCUACAGAACUCCCGGAGGGGCUGUUGGAUUUUUGGCAUUGCGAACAGCCAACUUGGAACUGUCGCCGACGAGGGGAAUCCAACUGUUUAAUUGAAACAUAGCAUUGAGACUCGCACGUUGAGGCAGUUUUUGACUCAAGGUGCGUCCUGCCCAGUGCUCUGAAUGUUAAUGCAAAGAGAUUUUAUCAAGCUCGGGUAAACGGCGGGAGUAACUAUGACUCUCUUAAGGUAGCCAAAUGCCUCGUCUUCUAACUAAAGACGCGCAUGAAUGGAUUAAUGAGAUUCCCACUGUCCCUGGUUACUAUCCAGCGAACCAACAGUCAAGGGAACGGGCUUGAAGUCUUCAGCGGGGAAAGAAGACCCUGUUGAGUUUGACUCUAAUCUGGACUUGUGCAGUGACAUUCGAGGUGUAGGAUAGGUGGGAGAUGCGCGAGCAUCAACGGUGAAAUACCACUACUCGGAUUGUUGCUUUGCUCAUCGCAUCGAAUAGGAACGGCAGUCGCCCAGCUUUUGCUGGGUUGAGGAUCUCCCCUCGGGGAGAUCCGUGGCUUUUCCGAUUCGAGCGGUAACCACAGAUCUUCUGUGGGACCUAUCGCUGCGAGACAUUGGCCAGAUGGGGAGUUUGGCUGGGGCGGCAUAUCUGUUAAACUCUAACGCAGGUGUCCUAAGGCACACUCAGUGAGAACAGAAAUCUUACGUGGCGGAUAAGGCCAAAAGUGUGCUUGAGCUCUCGAUCUCCAGUACUGAUCCAGACUGAAAAGCAAGGCCUAACGAUCCUUUGUACUCAUCAUGUUCAGAGUACGAAGUCAGAGGUGACAGAAAAAUUACCACAGGGAUAACUGGCUUGUGGCCGCCAAGAGUCCAUAUCGACGCUGCUUUUUGAUCCUUCGAUGUCGGCUCUUCCUAUCCUUACCCUGCAGAAGAGGUAAAGGGUUGGAUUGUUCACCCAUCAAAAGGGAACGUGAGCUGGGUUUAGACCGUCGUGAGACAGGUUGGUUUUACCCUACUGAAGAGUACAAGGCGUGUUGAAGGUAAUCUGGGGUAGUACGAGAGUAACUCCCAUUUCGUGCUGCUGGUUUCUGCCCCUGGCUGACCAACCAGUGGGGCGAAGCUACGCGCGAUGAUGUACGGCUGAAAGCCUCUUAAGCCAGAACUCAGUCCAGUGACACGCCCAUGCCUUGCGGCGUGGCUGAAACUGAAUUCUGACUCUGGGACUAACUCUCGUAGUAAGUCGCAUGGCCGGGAGCGCGACGAGCCACAAACAGCUGGCUUUGUUGUGCCUUGGCAAUAAAAAC